rfam:Gossypium arboreum cultivar AKA8401 contig_2537_3, whole genome shotgun sequence.
UGCUAUAAAUUUCAUCCAUUUCUACUAUUGAAUAUUAGUAUGGUUGAUGAAAUAACCGGACAGUUACACAUGAAAUGUCAUGUGGACCUCAUACUAACAUAUAAAGAUCAGUUUUAAACAGAAAAAAUAGAUGAAAAUUUUAACA